GGUAAUACGGAGGAAGCAAGCGUUAUCCGGAUUUAUUGGGGUUUAAAGGGUGCGUAGGCGGGAUAAUAAGUCAGUGGUGAAAUCCUGCGGCUUAACCGUUAGAAUUGUCAUUGAUACUGUUAAUCUUGAGUUCAAGUUGAGGUGGNCGGAAUGUAUAAUGUAGCGGUGAAAUGCUUAGAUAUUAUACAGAACACCGAUUGCGAAGGCAGCUCACUAAGCUGAUACUGACGCUGAGGCACGAAAGCGUGGGGAGCGAACAGGAUUAGAUACCCUGGUAGUCCACGCUGUAAACGAUGAUCACUCGCUGUUGGCAAUACAUCGUCAGCGGCUGAGCGAAAGCAUUAAGUGAUCCACCUGGGGAGUACGUCGGCAACGAUGAAACUCAAAGGAAUUGACGGGGGCCCGCACAAGCGGUGGAACAUGUGGUUUAAUUCGAUGAUACGCGAGGAACCUUACCUGGGCUUAAAUGCAGAACGACGGUUCCCGAAAGGGAUCCUUCUUCGGACGGACUGCAAGGUGCUGCAUGGUUGUCGUCAGCUCGUGCCGUGAGGUGUCGGGUUAAGUCCCAUAACGAGCGCAACCCCUAUUGUUAGUUGCCAGCGAGUAAUGUCGGGGACUCUAACGAAACUGCCGGUGUAAACCGAGAGGAAGGUGGGGAUGACGUCAAAUCAGCACGGCCCUUAUGUCCAGGGCUACACACGUGUUACAAUGGUCGAUACAGAGAGAAGCUACUUGGCGACAAGAUGCUAAUCUCGAAAAUCGUUCUUAGUUCGGAUUGGAGUCUGCAACUCGACUUCAUGAAGCUGGAAUCGCUAGUAAUCGCACAUCAGCCAUGGUGCGGUGAAACGUUCCCGGGCNUUGUACACACCGCCCGUCAAGCCAUGGAAGCCGGGG
rnacentral:rRNA from 1 species